CUACGGGCCGCUGCAGUGGGGAAUAUUGCACAAUGGGCGCAAGCCUGAUGCAGCCAUGCCGCGUGUAUGAAGAAGGCCUUCGGGUUGUAAAGUACUUUCAGCGGGGAGGAAGGGAGUAAAGUUAAUACCUUUGCUCAUUGACGUUACCCGCAGAAGAAGCACCGGCUAACUCCGUGCCAGCAGCCGCGGUAAUACGGAGGGUGCAAGCGUUAAUCGGAAUUACUGGGCGUAAAGCGCACGCAGGCGGUUUGUUAAGUCAGAUGUGAAAUCCCCGGGCUCAGCCUGGGAACUGCAUCUGAUACUGGCAAGCUGGAGUCUCGUAGAGGGGGGUAGAAUGCCAGGUGUAGCGGUGAAAUGCGUAGAGAUCUGGAGGAAUACCGGUGGCGAAGGCGGCCCCCUGGACGAAGACUGACGCUCAGGUGCGAAAGCGUGGGGAGCAAACAGGAUUAGAUACCCCCGUAGUC
rnacentral:rRNA from 1 species